rnacentral:rRNA from 1 species
UACGAAGGGGGCUAGCGUUGCUCGGAAUCACUGGGCGUAAAGCGCACGUAGGCGGCUUGUUAAGUCAGGGGUGAAAUCCUGGAGCUCAACUCCAGAACUGCCUUUGAUACUGGCGAGCUUGAGUUCGGGAGAGGUGAGUGGAACUGCGAGUGUAGAGGUGAAAUGCGUAGAUAUCCGGAGGAACACCGGUGGCGAAGGCGGCUUCCUGGACCGACACUGACGCUGAGGCGCGAAAGCUAGGGGAGCAAACGGG